rnacentral:tRNA from 1 species
GGCCGAGUGGCGGAAUUGGCAGACGCGCCGGACUCAAAAUCCGGUGUCCGCAAGGACGUGUCGGUUCGAGUCCGACCUCGGCUACCA